rnacentral:rRNA from 1 species
UACGUAGGGGGCAAGCGUUGUCCGGAAUCAUUGGGCGUAAAGCGCGUGUAGGCGGCUUGGUAAGUCCGUUCUGAAAGCCCGGGGCUCAACCCCGGGAGGCGGAUGGAUACUGUCAAGCUUGAGUCCGGAAGAGGCGAGUGGAAUUCCCGGUGUAGCGGUGAAAUGCGCAGAUAUCGGGAGGAACACCAGUGGCGAAGGCGGCACUCUGGGCCAGUAUUGACGCUGAGGAGCGAAAGCGUGGGGAGCGAACAGG